CUCGUAGGCGGUUCGUCGCGUCCGGUGUGAAAGUCCAUCGCUUAACGGUGGAUCCGCGCCGGGUACGGGCGGGCUUGAGUGCGGUAGGGGAGACUGGAAUUCCCGGUGUAACGGUGGAAUGUGUAGAUAUCGGGAAGAACACCAAUGGCGAAGGCAGGUCUCUGGGCCGUCACUGACGCUGAGGAGCGAAAGCCAGGGGAGCAAACG
rnacentral:rRNA from 1 species